AAAUAACAAUUAAUAUACAUACAUAGAGAGGGUUUUUUCUGAAGAUUAUUGAAAAUGAAAAAAAAAAUCAGGCAUGUGUGCAAAAAAAUCAGAUUUAACUCUCAUAGGUUUUCUAAACAACUGAAAUUUUAAAUCAAAAUUUAUUAAAAGACCUUUGUAGCCAUUGCUUGUAAGAUAUUACAUUGUAUACAUCUAGCAAUAACAUAUCGUUUAUCGCGAUCGCUCAAUACAGUCGUUUAUAGAAUGAAUGAUUUUUGUAUUUAGAUAGACAACUGAAUUGAAUAGUGCAAAUGGAAGGCAAUUCAUAAACACAGAACUAAAAGGAUUUCACAAUUACUUAUGAAAUGUUUUAAUGUUAUAAGGUUCAAGUUUGGUAAUAUUGUCAACCAUUUGUGUACAGUCUUUUUUUUUUAACCUUAAGUACAGUUCUUCCUAAGGACCAUGCAAAUUUAAAAAAAUAUGAUACAAGAUGUUCUGUAAUUUCAUUAUAUGUAUACAUUUUUUUGAAGAAGAAAUAUAAAAAUUAAUAUAUUAAAAAUUGUACUGCAAUAAAAAUGCACAACACCUACUUUUUUACAUGAGAUUCCUUCAUGGUAUUUCAGCCAUUUUCCCAUAGGAUUGUACAGUGAAAUUUGAACUUAAAUAUUGCAGUUGAUGGACAACCAUAUAAUUCAUAUUUUAGUUGAAUACAUCUAAAAUUAAUCAUUUUCAUAAUUUAUGAAGAGAAAACCGUGUGAUAAUGUCUAAAAGUUCUUUUUUGUAAAUGACCGUUUUGAAAUUUGAAUUUCCCUCCAAACAAAUUUCCUCCAGUUACCUCCCUUUAUCAAAAACGAAAAUCAAACACCAAUUUCUUAUCUAAACUGAUUUUCAGAACUAUUUUAUAGACUAAUCAGUCAUGAUAAUGUAUUUUAUGAUAAAGCCAAAGAAUUUAUUAAAGUAUAGGACCUGACAACAAAUAUGUAGCGGGUACAUAUUGUUUGGUUAGAGAUUAUUUGUUUACAUUAGCAAUCAUGGCGGCAAUUUAGAAAAUCAACAAGCUGACAGCAGAAGAUAUGUUUCCCCGUUGUAAUGUCGAGAUAUUUGUAAAAACUCAGUGUGGAACUUCCUCUCAUUACCAAAAUGAGUUGUCCCUUGUAAAACUGUUUGAUUGAAAUCGGGAUAUAUCAGGUCAUUUGCAUUCCCUGAGACUACCAACUGGCGAAAAUCAGACAAAAUGUGACACCCAAACAGAGGGUCAGCUGAUUUCAAGAAGGGCAGGUGUAUUUGAUUAGAAUAAAAAUCUAAGCAUACAUGUAUGUCCGGAACAUAGGUAUGAUUUAGGGAUCUAUUGGAGGCCCAGAACAACUUGCCAGUUCCCAGGUCAUAUUGGGAAGGAAAACCAUUUCGAACAGUAACAAGUCCUAUGAGUUAUGGAAUAUGGUGUACACAGACACAGCUUGUUCAUGCAGGAUCAGGAAUAUGCAGAAAAUGUAAAGAUGUUUUCAAGGAGGUUGUACCAGACAUUACUGUAUACCAGACAGGUUAAGACAGUAUCACAGAUAGUAAUGACAGUAAGAAAGAAGAGGCAGAUGAAGAAUAUAGUUUUUACUUUACCAGUGACAGUUCCAACAAUUUUUACUAUUUGAGAACAGGGAACAAAUGUAUAAUACCACAAUGAGUUUGAUGACAUACUAGAAUGUACAUCAGAGUGUACCCAAGCAACCAACUCUCAGACUUCCAACUGGAGUGACAAUAUCCAGACACCGCUUAGUGCAAUUAAUCAAGCUCUGAGUACUAUUGGAAGAGGAUCUGUUAGUCCACUAAAAUUUCAGCUGUCAAAACCUUUAGAUGAUGUUAAGGAGAGUACACUCCGAUAUAUCAAGAGGAAAGCAACAGAAUCAAUUGAUGUGUUGUUAGAUUCAAUUGCACAAUCUGAAGCAGCCUUGUUGAUUAGAGAUAGUCGGGAUGAGGAAGGAAGAAAAAUGUUUCAACCAGAAGAAUACCUCCUUACAUCACAGGUGGCCUCAUACUUUUCUAGACUGGCUUUAUUAUCCAGGCAGAAUCAGCUUUCAAGAAAAGAACAGGACAAUUUUAAUGAUGAAGACUAGGCUGCUGUGUUGUCAGCCAUUGAGGAAAAUGAAGUUCGCCAAAACAUUCUUCAAACACAUUGACACAUUUCUUAUUUUAAUGUAUUUUUAUUGUCAAGCCUGCAACUUUUGUUGCAGAAAGCUCGACAUAGGGAUAGUGAUCCGGCGGCAGCGGAUGCUACGGUGGCGGCGUUAGCUAACUUUUUAAAAGCUUUAUAUUUUAAAUGGUGGAACACCUGGAUGCUUCAUACUUUGUAUAUAGAUGCCUCAUGUUACGAAGUUUCCGUCAGUCACAUGUCAAAUGUCCUUGACCUCAUUUUUAUGGUUCAGUCACCACUUGAAAAAAAAGUUCAGAUUUUUUGUAAUGUUGAAUUCUCUUUUAUUAUAAGUAAUAGGAUGGCAAUAUUUGAUAUGUGCGUACCUUGCAAGGUCCUCAUGUCCGUUAGACAGUUUUCACUUGACCUCGACCUCAUUUCAUGUAUCAGUGAACAAGGUUAAGUUUUGGUGGUCAAGUCCAUAUAUCAGAUACUAUAAGCAAUAGGGCUAGUAUAUUCAGUGUAUGGAAGGACUGUAAGUUGUACAUGCCCAACUGGCAGGUGUCAUCUCACCUUGACCUCAUUUUCAUGGUUCAGUGGUUAUAGUUAAGUUUUUGUGUUUUGGUCUGUUUUUCUCAUACUUUAUGCAUUAGAUAUACUAUAUUUGUUGUAUGGAAUGAUUGUAAGGUGUACAUGUCUAGCAGGCAGAUGUCAUCUGACCUUGACCUCAUUUUCAUGGUUCAGUGGUUAAAGUUAAGUUUUUGUGUUUUUGGUCUGUUUUUCUCAUACUUUAUGCAAUAGAUCUACUUUAUUUGUUGUAUGGAAUGAUUGUAAUGUGUACAUGUCUAGCAGGCAAAUGUCACCUGACCUUGACCUCAUUUUCAUGGUUGAGUGGUCAAAGUUAAGUUUUUGAGUUUUGGUCUUUUUAACUAAUACUAUAUGCCAUAGCUCAACUAUAUUUGGUGUAUGGACAUAUUUUAUGAUCCAUAUGUCAGUCGUGCAGGUUUAAUUUGACCUUGACCUGAAUUUCACGGUUCAUUGCUCAGUGUCAAGUUUUUGUGUUUUGGUCUAUUUUCAUAAACUAUAAGUAAUAGGUCAACUAUAUUUGUUGUAUGGAAGCAUUGUUAGCUGUACAUGUCACCCUGGCAUGGUUCAUCUGACUGUGACCUCAUUUUCAUGGUUCGUUGGUCUUUGUUUGGUUAUUUUGGUUAAUGUUUAGUUUAUGUGACAGUUUUUAAUAAAGCUUUAUACUUAGGACUAUCAACAUAAUAUCAAUAAUUAGUAAAGAAGGCGAGACAUUUCUGUGUGUGCACUCUUGUAUAAGUUGUAUGGACUUUUGUUUUGAGUUAAUGGGUUGGGGGGGAGGGGGUUAUACUGAACAAAAACAUGAAAAGGGUUUAAAAAUCAAUCAUUAUCCCUUUUGAAUGAAGUUUUGGAUAAGAUUAAAUAGUUGUCUUUUGUUCAUCCCAAUUAUAAAAUUGAGAAAGGGAAUGGUGAAUAUGUCAAAGCGACAACCACCCAACCAUAGAGCAAACAACAGCCGAAGGCAACCAAUGGGUCUUCAAUGUAGCGAGAAUUCCCGCACCCGUAGGUGUCCUUCAGCUGGUCCCUAAAAAUAUGCAUAAUAGUACAGUGAUAAUGGACGUCAUGCAUGAUUUUCAAUAAAGAUAAUAUAAAAAAUAAAUCCCCUCUGAAACUAUGUAACAGAAUUUCAUGAAACUUAAUUAAUAAGUAAUAAGUAAUAAGAACACAAUAAAGAUAUGUGCAUAUAAUAGGGUAAUUUCAAACCCCUGAAUUUUGUUCGGGGUUUAAGCUUUUUGAAAGUUCCAUAAAUCUUCCACUGAAACAACUUGUGAGCUCAAAUCCUGAAACUCUGCUCAACUCCUGAAACAACUCAGGAGAAUUUCAUGAAACUUAGUAGUUAGUUAGGACACAGCUGUGCAUAUUAUCUGAAAAUUUUGAUCCCAUGAAAUUCUUUGAAGAUAUAUAGCUCUUUAAAAGUAAAAAAAGAUAUUCCACAAACAGUUUGACAGAGCAACCUCUUUGAAGCCAUAGAACAGGUUUUGCCAAAUUUGAUGAUUUGUUACAAAAAUUAUGUAUAUUGAAUUAGCUUCCUGUGACUUAUUGCAAAAGUAGUUUUUGUUGUCCAAAUAAAACAAUUGAAUAGUGGAAAAGUUUCAUUUCUACACGAAAAAGCAUUCUGAAGACAACUUUUUCCCCAGUAAAGCUAGUAAUUACAAUGUAUAGAAAUAGAUAUAAAUUCAUGAAUUUGGGACCAUUUAAGGAAUUGUCUAAUAAGAAAUUAAAAAUGAUUUACUUCAACACAAAUAUAUAUAAGUAUAUUAUUAGUGUGCUCAUUUCCAAGUAAAGACAUACAAAUUUGGCGGGAAAUUAGAUUUAUCUGCAUUUUCAUUGCCAUUGUAUUGAUAAUUUCAGUCUUUCCAUAGAGGAUGGAAAACAGAGUUGUGUUAUUUGGUAAAUGAUUUAUUCAGAUAUAUAAAUUUAACUGAGAAAUUUUGAAAUUAAUGUAAAAAAAAAUCUGGUUUAGUGAUCGAUAUAACCAAAGGAUUUCCAAAAAUCCAACCAAAAAUUUAUCAGCAACAUCCUUUAAUGUUAUUAAAAGUGGGAAACAUGAUAUAUAAUAACCUUCUUAGCAUUGUCUGAUCACUACUAUUUUCAUAUUUGAUUGUACAUGAUGUAUAGUGUAAUGAAUACAAUUCACAGUUAACCUCUUCAGAGGAAUUGUAAUUUUGAUUUUUUUUCUGAAAUAUCGAUUUUUUAUCUACAAAAUAAAUUACUUUAUGAGAAAAGUCACACGGUUUUUGUUAUUUUUUCUUACAAACCAAUAUAUGAACUGUAUAAUAUUCAAAGAAUUGUAGAUGUACUGGCUCCAUCAAUUUUUUUUUAAGACGGUGAAUUUCAUGAAAAUAUAGCCAAAUUGCUUUUUGAAAAUCAACAGAUAUUAAAAUCACCAAAGAGGU